rnacentral:rRNA from 1 species
GGGUUGUGAGGUUAAGCGACUAAGCGUACACGGUGGAUGCCCUGGCAGUCAGAGGCGAUGAAGGGCGUGCUAAUCUGCGAUAAGCGCCGGUAAGGUGAUAUGAACCGUUAUAACCGGCGAUACCCGAAUGGGGAAACCCAGUGUGAUUCGUCACACUAUCAUUAACUGAAUCCAUAGGUUAAUGAGGCGAACCGGGGGAACUGAAACAUCUAAGUACCCCGAGGAAAAGAAAUCAACCGAGAUUCCCCCAGUAGCGGCGAGCGAACGGGGAGGAGCCCAGAGCCUGAAUCAGCAUGUGUGUUAGUGGAAGCGUCUGGAAAGGCGCGCGAUACAGGGUGACAGCCCCGUACACAAAAGCGUAUGUGCUGUGAGCUCGAUGAGUAGGGCGGGACACGUGGUAUCCUGUCUGAAUAUGGGGGGACCAUCCUCCAAGGCUAAAUACUCCUGACUGACCGAUAGUGAACCAGUACCGUGAGGGAAAGGCGAAAAGAACCCCGGCGAGGGGAGUGAAAAAGAACCUGAAACCGUGUACGUACAAGCAGUGGGAGCACCCUUUGGGGUGUGACUGCGUACCUUUUGUAUAAUGGGUCAGCGACUUAUAUUCUGUAGCAAGGUUAACCGAAUAGGGGAGCCGGAGGGAAACCGAGUCUUAAUUGGGCGUUAAGUUGCAGGGUAUAGACCCGAAACCCGGUGAUCUAGCCAUGGGCAGGUUGAAGGUUGGGUAACACUAACUGGAGGACCGAACCGACUAAUGUUGAAAAAUUAGCGGAUGACCUGUGGCUGGGGGUGAAAGGCCAAUCAAACCGGGAGAUAGCUGGUUCUCCCCGAAAGCUAUUUAGGUAGCGCCUCGUGAAUUCAUCUCCGGGGGUAGAGCACUGUUUCGGCUAGGGGGUCAUCCCGACUUACCAACCCGAUGCAAACUGCGAAUACCGGAGAAUGUUAUCACGGGAGACACACGGCGGGUGCUAACGUCCGUCGUGAAGAGGGAAACAACCCAGACCGCCAGCUAAGGUCCCAAAGUCAUGGUUAAGUGGGAAACGAUGUGGGAAGGCCCAGACAGCCAGGAUGUUGGCUUAGAAGCAGCCAUCAUUUAAAGAAAGCGUAAUAGCUCACUGGUCGAGUCGGCCUGCGCGGAAGAUGUAACGGGGCUAAACCAUGCACCGAAGCUGCGGCAGCGACA